AAAGCAUACCGAGAGGAAAGUUUUGAAGUUGGUUCGGCGUUGUGGACGGGCCGUUCUAUGAGAAUUUUUUACUUCUAGGUAAGAUAAAGAUUCAUAGUGGAUGUGCAAACUGGUCUUCAUUUUACAUUUUUUUUGACGACAAUAUCUUUUAUGCGUUAGCACAGCCAGUACAUAUCAGAAAUAGUACGUAGAUCUUAACCUAAAUUUAGGGACAGUCCGUCAACCGGGCACUUUGCCUUAGCAACCGGCAAAUGGGGUAAAGCAGAUAGGAAAACAUGGCGGAUUGCAUUGACUAGUAUGUAAAUGUCGUCAGACCUUGUCUGACGACAUCAUAUUUCACAGUGCUUGACCACUUGUGUCAGUGAGGUUGAGCUAUAUGCCUGGUUUAUUUCCUUUCAAGGCCUUUAUAAUUAUGGCUGCUGCGCACCUGAUUAAGAGAAAGACAGCCUUAACUGCUGAUCAUUAUCUGUGAUCGGGAAUCUUACCGCAGUAAAUUACAAAGCCACUAUGCCUACCUGGAUGAGCCUUAUAUUCACCCCUCAAGUAGAACACUCUCAGGAAGCAAUUGAUUUUAUCAAGGAAGGUGCCAAUUGUACUAAUUUCAGUUGACAUUCCACUGCUGGCAAAUGUGACAGGCAAGUUUUGGGCUGGGAUACUAGUAUAAAAGGGUUUAUACUAGUUUAUCUUUGACUCACUCAUACACCAAUGAAGGUGAAAUUUUGCUGUGUACCAGAUUGCACUGCCAACAGUGCUAAAAAUCCAUAAAGGAAAAUUUGUGUUAUUCCAAAAGAUGAAGAAAGAAAGGAAAAAUGGUUGCGAGCAAUAGGUCAUGCAUAUGUCACAGUUUUUUUUUCUGUACAGGAGUGAUAGCUUGAGAUGCCAGCCACCCAGAUUACAUCUGUUCAAUAUUCCCCCACAAAGAAAAGACUGAUGACAAAUCUGCUGUUAUCUUGGGGCGUUAUGCACGUGCUACAAAUUUAUUGAGACAAGGCUAAGGAAGAGCUGUAAACAAGAUCAGACAGAAUGCUCACAGCCUCUAGAUGAAGAUGAUACAUUGUACCUCUUCUGUCCCCACAACCAGUACGUCCACUUCUGAAGAAGGUGAAGAAGGUACAUGUAUGUGAACGACACCAUUGCCCAGAUGUCACGAAGCUUAGAGAAUACCUGUCCAGGAUGAGGCCAAGCCCAUGGAUAAGCCACUGUGGAAAGAGCAGAACUAUACAUAGAAAUUGAAAAUCUUACAAGAGAGAGAGAGAUGAUGCACAUGCAAGGAUCCAGAGUAUGGACAAAUUACUGACCCUUACUUCAUUUACCACAUCCUCUGUCAAAGGUAAUGACAGUGCUUGCCAGUUGAUGACUGGACUUUCAUGGACAAUGUUUAUGCAGAUUUUGACUUUAAUAAGUGUGUUUUUACAGCCAGGAUUGAUAGGUUCAAGUCUACCCUUAAAA